rnacentral:rRNA from 1 species
CUCGACUCCAUGAAGUCGGAAUCGCUAGUAAUCGUAGAUCAGAAUGCUACGGUGAAUACGUUCCCGGGCCUUGUACACACCGCCCGUCACACCAUGGGAGUGGGUUGCAAAAGAAGUAGGUAGCUUACCCCUCGGGGGGGCGCUUACCCACUUUGUGAUUCAUGACUGGGGUGAAUUCGUGACCACGAUACCCCGGCCACCC